rnacentral:lncRNA from 1 species
AGAGUUUAUCAAGCAUGUGUUCAGUGCAAAUGCUCAGACUUGGACAUGAUGCAAAAGCAAUUAAGAGAAAGAACAGGCUUUGACAUGUAUUAUUUGAUGUAGCACUCAUGGGCACCAUGAUGAGGAGCUCUUAAAUCAGCUUAAGAAAGGUGAACUACUAAGAUCAAAAGAGUGUUCCUUUUUCCUGAUGGAGUCUCCCUCUGUCACCAGGCUGCAGUGCCUUGGCCCGAUCUCGGCUCACUGCAACCUCAGCCUCCUGGGUUCAAGCGAUUCUCCUGCCUCAGCCUCCUGAGUAGCUGGGACUGCAUGCGAGCACCACCACAUCCAGCUAAUUUUUGUAUUUUUAGUAGAGACGGGGUUUCACGAUGUUGGCCAGGAUGGUCUCUACCUCCUGACCUCAUGAUCCACCCACCUCAGCCUCCCAAAGUGCUGGCAUUACAGGCAUGAGCGACUGCGCCCCGC